rnacentral:lncRNA from 1 species
AGAAUGUCAAGGGCUAAGUGUUACAGAGCCAAGUACAAACACAACUUUAACCAAGCUGAGAUAAAAUCCAACAAACCAGAAAAUCCAGAAAAAUACACAUCAAAGCAGCAGAACAUAACUGCCAAAGAAAACCAGAACAUCCAACAGAGCAAAAAAAACAUUAUCUCAUGAAUGGGGGGCAACUUCAAAAAGGGAUAAUCAGAGGAGCUUGAGCUUGCAUCUUCAUCAGCAUCAGAAACAGAAUUGUCACUUGUC